CCGGUAAACGGCGGCCGUAACUAUAACGGUCCUAAGGUAGCGAAAUUCCUUGUCGGGUAAGUUCCGACCUGCACGAAUGGCGUAAUGAUGGCCAGGCUGUCUCCACCCGAGACUCAGUGAAAUUGAACUCGCUGUGAAGAUGCAGUGUACCCGCGGCAAGACGGAAAGACCCCGUGAACCUUUACUAUAGCUUGACACUGAACAUUGAGCCUUGAUGUGUAGGAUAGGUGGGAGGCUUUGAAGUGUGGACGCCAGUCUGCAUGGAGCCGACCUUGAAAUACCACCCUUUAAUGUUUGAUGUUCUAACGUUGACCCGUAAUCCGGGUUGCGGACAGUGUCUGGUGGGUAGUUUGACUGGGGCGGUCUCCUCCUAAAGAGUAACGGAGGAGCACGAAGGUUGGCUAAUCCUGGUCGGACAUCAGGAGGUUAGUGCAAUGGCAUAAGCCAGCUUGACUGCGAGCGUGACGGCGCGAGCAGGUGCGAAAGCAGGUCAUAGUGAUCCGGUGGUUCUGAAUGGAAGGGCCAUCGCUCAACGGAUAAAAGGUACUCCGGGGAUAACAGGCUGAUACCGCCCAAGAGUUCAUAUCGACGGCGGUGUUUGGCACCUCGAUGUCGGCUCAUCACAUCCUGGGGCUGAAGUAGGUCCCAAGGGUAUGGCUGUUCGCCAUUUAAAGUGGUACGCGAGCUGGGUUUAGAACGUCGUGAGACAGUUCGGUCCCUAUCUGCCGUGGGCGCUGGAGAACUGAGGGGGGCUGCUCCUAGUACGAGAGGACCGGAGUGGACGCAUCACUGGUGUUCGGGUUGUCAUGCCAAUGGCACUGCCCGGUAGCUAAAUGCGGAAGAGAUAAGUGCUGAAAGCAUCUAAGCACGAAACUUGCCCCGAGAUGAGUUCUCCCUGACCCUUUAAGGGUCCUGAAGGAACGUUGAAGACGACGACGUUGAUAGGCCGGGUGUGUAAGCGCAGCGAUGCGUUGAGCUAACCGGUACUAAUGAACCGUGAGGCUUAACCUUACAACGCCGAAGGUGUUU
rnacentral:rRNA from 1 species